AUGUUCUUCGGUGGCUGCACCAGGCGCUCGUUCCGCUUGCUCGGCAGUCUCUGCAUGGCGAUACUAGAGCCCACCAUCCACGUCCCUACACUGCUGCUCGACGGGAGCGACUCCGGCGAAAACAAGCCAUCCGAUCUGUCCGGCAGCUUCGUGUUCCCCAGCCGGGCGGUGGCGAACAUGAUGCGGCGAUGGAACUACCAGGAGGGCUCAGGCCUCGGCGCGCAGGGGCAAGGGAUCGUCGUGCCCAUACAAGCCGGCGGCGGGCGGGCGCGGCGCCGUCCAAAGGCGGGGCUCGGCUACCGCGAGAAACCCUACGACAAUGGUCUCGACGUGCCGCCGCCGCCGCCCCUGGAAGAGUGUCGUGAGUUGGAGGAUGCUUUACGGGCUCUGCGGCUUGAAGCGGAGUGCCGCGAGAAGAUCCUCGUGCUGCUACGUGACAUGAGGCUUCAAGAGCCCGACAACAACGUGGAGACGGCGGAUGCGCUGACGGCCAUCGUCGGGUCCAAGAAGAAGAAGGGGCGCCACGGGAAGCGCGUGCCAGGGACGCUGAAAUCCCGGUUGCCUUCCUCCGCCACGAGCUACAUAAUCGAGCAGGUGAUCACGCCGAGGAUGGCCGUCGACGUGCGAGAGUGGAUCCCGUCAUGGGACCCGGACUGCCACGACUGGCUACGCCCGCUGAUCCCCCUCAUCGGCCACUUGCCGGAGAGCCUCUACGGCGCCGUGGAGAGCAAGAUCGGCGGCGGCGACUACGAGGUCGUCUCUCCAUGGAAGGAGUACCUUAGCCCGGCGCAGUGGGACACCUUCAGCAAGCGUCACAUCCUGCCGAAGCUGGCAUUGUUGGUACGGGGGAUGAGGAUCACGCCGCCCAAGCAAACCGACUCUUCGUUCCGGGCCGUGAUGCUGUGGGCGCCUCUCCUGCACGCUCAAGACGUCGUGUCGAUCUUGGAGGCCGAGCAGUUUUUCGAUAAAUGGGAAGGCGCGCUGGAACACUGGUUGCAGGCAGGGGCGGCGAAGCCCUCGUUUGGAGAGGCCACCGCGUGGUGCGCCGGCUGGAAGAAGCUGUUCACGCCGGAGCUGCUCGCCAACAAACGCGUGCUCGCACACCUCGAAGCUGGCCUUGACAUUGUCGAUCGUGCAAUGCAAGACCUGGAUGGUCUGUUUUAG
rnacentral:rRNA from 1 species